AUGGAGAGGAACCUGGGAGCUGUGCUGGGGAUUCUAUGGGUGCAGAUUUGCUGGGUGAGAGGAGCUGAGGUGGAGCAGAGUCCUUCAGUCCUGAGUCUCCAGGAGGGAACAAGUUCUGCUCUGAGAUGCAACUUUUCCACCACCAUGAAGAGUGUGCAGUGGUUCAGACAGAAUCCCCGGGGUAGCCUCAUUAGUCUGUUUUACCUGGCUGCAGGAACAAAGGAGAAUGGGAGGUUAAAGUCAACAUUCGAUCCUAAGGAGCCCUACAGCACCCUGCACAUCAGGGACACCCAGAUGGAGGACUCAGGCACCUACCUCUGUGCUGCUGAGGCACAGUGCUCCCAGCAAGCCUACAGCCUGGCCCCAAACUGCCGCUGGGUGUGCAGCUCCAGCCCCUGA